AAGACUAUACUUUCAGGGAUCAUUUCUAUAGUCUGUGACUAGAGAAGUUUCUCUGAUCGUGUAGAGCACCGAAAACCACGAGGAGGAGUUUUAGCAUCCUCUCCUGAGCGUGAAGCUGGCUUUUGGUGUUGCUUUUGUGCAACUGCCACUUGCCAUUGAUGAUCGUUCUUCUCUCCUUGUAGGAGAGUGAGAGGGGGAGGAUGCAGUCUGAGUGGU
rnacentral:snoRNA from 13 species